rnacentral:rRNA from 1 species
AUACCCCAUAGGCCGAGAGGUUAAAGCGGAGACGCGCGGCAGGAGGAGCUCGUGUCCUAUCAGCUGGUUGGUGAGGUAAUGGCUCACCAAGGCGACGACGGGUAGCCGGCCUGAGAGGGUGACCGGCCACACUGGAACUGAGAAACGGUCCAGACUCCUACGGGAGGCAGCAGUGGGGAAUAUUGGGCAAUGGGAGGAAUCCUGACCCAGCGACGCCGCGUGAACGAAGACGGCCUUCGGGUUGUAAAGUUCUUUUAUGUGGGAAGAAUUAAGUGACGGUACCACAUGAAUAAGCCCCGGCUAACUACGUGCCAGCAGCCGCGGUAAUACGUAGGGGGCGAGCGUUGUCCGGAAUUACUGGGCGUAAAGGGCACGCAGGCUGUGCUUCAAGUCAGCUGUAAAAGGAUGCGGCUUAACCGUGUUAUGCAGUUGAGACUGAGGUGCUGGAGUACCGGAGAGGCAAGUGGAAUUCCCAGUGUAGCGGUGAAAUGCGUAGAUAUUGGGAAGAACAUCGGUGGCGAAGGCGACUUGCUGGACGGUAACUGACGCUGAGGUGCGAAAGCCAGGGUAGCGAACGGGAUUAGAUACCCCGGUAGUCCUGGCCGUAAACGAUGAAUGCUAGGUGUGCGAGCAGAGAUGUUGGCGUGC